UGAACGCUGUGUCUUGCAUUAUGAGCCUCCCUCAUAAUGUCUCCUUUUAGCCCUAUGUCAUCUGGUACACACAAUCGACUCCCAUAGCGGAGGAUCCCCUUACUGUCAAAUCUGAACUCACUGUCCUUGCCUGACUGAACAGUCCUGGCAAUCUUCACUAACUCUAGGUCCUCAUGCUGUUUCUGAGCCACUUGCUCCAGAAACACAGGUGUCACUCUCAUCUGGGCCACUAAAGCACCGGUACCAGACAACUCCAACUGUAGAC
rnacentral:lncRNA from 1 species